rnacentral:lncRNA from 1 species
CAGAACUGGCAUCACAACUUUCCAUCUGUACAUUUUCAACAUCAACAUCUUGUGAUGAUCCUCGGAGCGGUUCUGAGUCGCUGCUCAACUGUGCAAGUAGAUCUUCCUUCUUCACAACAUUAAACAUAAUUCCAUUAUUAAUCCUUUCUGCCUGUAACAUAUCUCCUUCAGAAACCAUAAUGCUGGUGGAAGCAGCUACAGGAAUUCUAUUGCUACCUAGCUCAGAGUCUGUGUUCUCUGAGCUUCUAUCAGGGGUUGUUACUCUCGAGUUGCUAUGGUAAGGAUCCCUGCCAACCAUCUGAGUCACCAAGGAGUUGGAGUGGGCUGUUAAAGCAUCAGCCUCAUCCUCCCUUGACCAAGGCCUGUUGAAUUCUGCCUCAAGCUCAAGGCUUUGCACAAAGUUGAUGAAUUUGUUUGCAGAGGCUGUCCUCAUCAGAGGUCCACCACAUCUUGUCCAAGAAUUUAGGUAAUUUAGGUCCAUAUUAUC